CCCCCGGGUCCUGCGCGCGGCCUCCGCCCGAGCGCGCGGUGUUGGCGGCGGCGGGCCACCAAAACAAAUACAUGGAAAUAGAUUUUCUGAUCUGUUCUUAUAUGGUUCAAAUGUUCACAGUGAUGUAACUGCCUUAUUGAAGCCACAAAUUUAGUUUGCAUGCUUCAGCAAUGGCUUACCAGGAGCACUUAGAAUGACAAAAGCACAAGAAGAAAGACGUUGUUCAGAAGACAGGAAACCGAGGAAAGAGGAGCCCCACAGGAUUCAAAACCAGCUUCAAUGUGAGCUCUGUGAUGUCUCUUGCACAGGAGCAGGUGCAUGUGUGGCACAUAUCCGGGAGCCAUCAGAAGGCUAAUAAAAAUAGAGGGAACAAGCAACAAACUUGUGGAAGAGAAGGUGAUGAAACCAACAGCAGAGCUACAGCCAUCUCUGAAAAUACACCUGGAGGACUGCUGGAUGUACGGUCUGAUGUACAUGACCAUGUAGAAGAGGUUAACGUCUUUCCUCGCAAGAUAAAUUGUUAUAUGAACCUGGGCUGCAAGAUCCCUGCUAGAAAGGUAAGUUGACUGCUUUGGAGACUGAGAGCUGUCACCAGUGAGAGGACGCCACAGCCCAUGCACAGAUAGAGAAGACGAGCCGUUAACAACAGUUAAGGAGGACACUUUGGUAAAUGUUCCUGGCAGUGGUAUGCAGGAGAUCCCCACUGCAACUAACACUUCUGAACUACUGAGAGAUGCGGUCUGCUUUUUAAUGAUAGAAAUAUAAAUAGUAACACCAGAAGUUGUGUUGAUGUUGCUCACUUUUUAAUAAAGCAUCAAAGCAAGUGAAUAUUUCAAAUGAGAGUCCGGUUGUCUUUAAAUAUGAUGCUAUUUGUUUUAAAUGUGUCUAUCUGCCAUUGAGUCCUCUGUCACAUUUUUUAUUGCCUACGUGGAAAACCAUAGAACUUAUCGUAGCACAUAAAAUUCUACAUUGUGUAACUCAAGCCCUCUUCCAUUCUGUUUGGUUGUUCUUA